CCUACGGGCGGCAGCAGUGAGGAAUAUUGGUCAAUGGUCGGGAGCCUGAACCAGCCAAGCCGCGUGAGGGAAGACGGUCCUAUGGAUUGUAAACCUCUUUUGUCGGGGAGCAAAAGACGCCACGCGUGGCGUUCCGAGAGUACCCGAAGAAAAAGCAUCGGCUCACUCCGUGCCAGCAGCCGCGGUAAUACGGGGGAUGCGAGCGUUAUCCGGAUUUAUUGGGUUUAAAGGGUGCGCAGGCGGAAGAUCAAGUCAGCGGUAAAAGUGAGAGGCUCAACCUCUUCGAGCCGUUGAAACUGGUAUUCUUGAGUGAGUGAGAAGUAUGCGGAAUGCGUGGUGUAGCGGUGAAAUGCAUAGAUAUCACGCAGAACUCCGAUUGCGAAGGCAGCAUACCGGCGCUAAACUGACGCUGAUGCACGAAAGUGUGGGUAUCGAACAGGAUUAGAUACCCGAGUAGUC
rnacentral:rRNA from 1 species